rnacentral:ncRNA from 2 species
UUGAGCCGUGGGCAGGGAAACUUGCACGCACGGUUCUGAGAGGGGGCUUGAUGGUGACAUCGGGUUCCCUACUCGGU